rnacentral:rRNA from 1 species
UCGCAUCUACCGAUUGAGCGUUUCGGUGAAAUAUCGGGACCAUGUCCUUUUGUCCUUCGGGACAUUUGGACGUGGAAACUUUCUUAAACCUCAACGCUUAGAGGAAGAUG